CCUUCAUGUGGUGAUUUAAGCAUGGUGAAAAGACAUGAGAGGUGUAGAAUGAGUGGGAUGCCCCUGGUACCCCCUGUUCUUCAAGAGGUGUCAGGGCUGAGCCCACCGGCCUCUAGGGCUGAUGAUGAAAUGCCACAAUUCUCAUCGUUUAUUCACUGAACCAGUGAGGCGGGGAGGUGAACACAAAGGGACUCUCGCUUCUGGCAUUAAGCCCAUCUGCAUGUGCUCAUGACAUGCUCCAGGGACAGUGCCAGGGGGGAGAUUGACUGGUACUGUACACCUAUGAAAUGGUAAUACAGGUGUCCUAAGGUGAGUUUAGGGAGGACAGAAACUUGCCAUGGAGCAGAAGGGCAAAAGCUGGCUUGAUUUUCGUUUUCAGUAAGAAUACAGACCAUGAAAAUGAGGCCUUACGAUCCUUCUGACCUUUUGGGUUUUAAGUAGGAGGUGCCAGAAAAGUUAACAGAGGGAUAACUGACUUGUGGUGACCAGAGACACUAUGCUACCAUGGAAUUAUUAUGUAUUUCUGGAACCUGUCUUGGAAAUUCUGGGUAGAGAGCUUGACAUAUUGAUAUACUUUGGGCUAAAGUCCAAAUAUUUUGACAAGUUGCUUUAUUGUUAUUUGAUUUGAUUAAAGGU
rnacentral:ncRNA from 1 species